UGUGUGUCUGUGUCUGUCUGUCUGUCUCUGUGACUUCAGGGCUUCGUCAGGAGUGUAGGCGACACUGGACCACUGGAACCAGGCGAAUGACCAGGCCCUGCAGCUGAUCAAGGGCCUAAAGGUGCACAGGGAGCCAAAGGGGUCAAAGGAGAAGAGGGACCCGCAGGACAACAGGGUAUCCAAGGAGAGCCAGAGAAGAGGGGAAACUGUGGAUUUCCAGGCGCUCGAGGACCCAGUGGACAAAAGAUGUUCUACACUGGAGCUGGAAUGAACCCUGUCAGAUCCUUCGCUCCUGCUACGUUCAAGAGGAACUCCAUGAACCACUGGGUAAGAAAAAUAUAUACAAAUUAUAUACAAACAUGCUCAUAGUCUCGCAUUGUUUGUAAACUACUUUCAAUUCAGAUAUAAUAGAUGUAAUAGUGUUACAUUGUUUUAGUCUUUUACAGAAUGUGCAAUGCACUGCAUGUAUUUCUCAGUUGCUCACAUGUAACUAUAAUAUGGUUUCUGUUCUUCCCUCAUCGUGCCUGUGCCCGUCGUUC